rnacentral:rRNA from 1 species
UACAGGGGGGGCAAGCGUUGUUCGGAAUUACUGGGCGUAAAGGGCUCGUAGGUGGCCAACUAAGUCGGACGUGAAAUCCCUCAGCUUAACUGGGGAACUGCAUCCGAUACUGGAUGGCUUGAGUUUGGGAGAGGGAUGCGGAAUUCCAGGUGUAGCGGUGAAAUGCGUAGAUAUCUGGAGGAACACCGGUGGCGAAGGCGGCAUCCUGGACCAACACUGACACUGAUGAGCGAAAGCCAGGGGAGCAAACGGG